rnacentral:ncRNA from 1 species
AUAAAUAUUUAGCAAACUCAUCCAAAGGUGGGGACGCAAAGCUAUGGGUCUAAGGGACUUUAUAUCCUAUGAUUGCCAAGUUGCCGAU